AAACCCACCCUGCGGUUAUUUCCCCAGUGCCCAAAUAUAUAGUUAGGAUAGAUAUAAUUAGCAUAUACUUACCAGCUGGUAGAUCCCUUACAGUAGUGGCCUGAUUUGUGGAGUGAGAACCAUUAUGAGAAGAAAUGGAAGCCCUUGAAAGGCCAAAUGGAAGUUCUUGACAUUUUCCUAUCCCCAAUACUAGCCUCCAAGAAAAAUUAGAAGCAAUGCCACAUUUCUGGAGGAAUUUUAGAGAUUAGCAUUACCAUUCAAGAUAUGAGAGAUGAAGGAUAGGGUCUAAC
rnacentral:lncRNA from 1 species